CGCCUUUCUUCCCUGAUAUACCGACCCAAAUCCCCAUAUCUCCUCCUCCUUGCUCUCAAAUCCUCAAAUCUCCUCCUCCUCGCCUUCAAACUAUGGUCAAUUGAAAAGAUGCAGAAGACUAACAGAUUCUUCAAGCUCCCUGUCACGAAACCCUAACAGACUAACAUCUCUAUGGUCGCCAACUGCGCUGCCGUAUCUUCUCCGCCUCAGCGAAGAAGGACCAUGUCCGCUCUCGAAGCCCGAAUCUCCCUUGUCGCCGCUCUCGCCACCCAAGCCUCCUCCGUCUCCCAGUGACAUAAAUUUUUACUCGAUUUGGCCACCAAGAUAGCCAAGUACAUCUUCUCCAAGCAGUUCGAGGCUCGAACUCUCGAGGAAGCUCUCAUGCCAGGUAUUGUUUUGGGUUGGUUGUUUCUGAUUCUAGUUUGGAAUGAUGAUUCUGAACCCACUCCGUUGCUGUUUCUUUUGUUUUGAGGCUAAUUUGUUGAUUUCUUUUGUUCGUUUUCAUGGAUUUGGGAGGUAGAUGCUGGAGUGGAGGCCAAAGAUUGCUUCCAGAUUUAUCUGGAUUACCAUAUGGGUUAGCAGUAUAUCAUUUGAUACAUAUGCUGAUAUUGCAUCUGAGGGCACAGCUGAUGUAAGCAUUGUCAUUUUGUUGUAGUAUAUCUCUUUAUGCAUCUAUUUGUUUGUUAUUGGUGUGCUUCUGUUUGUGCUUGUUAGGUAUGUUGUACUGACUGUGUUAAAUGUUGUAAGGGAGGCAAAGGGAUCACAGAUUUGAAAUUAGCUCUUGAGGUAUGGAUUGAUUAUCAUUUUAUAUCACCAGUUCAGUUUACUAUGUUGUUAGUUCUCAUGAUUAGUUGGUAUUGUUCUCUAGAAAGUUUUGGUGAGAUUUAUGUUGACAGUCUAGAGGAGUUCCUUCAAACCUUUUCAACUCAGAGAAUUUCUUUAGGUGCCAAAUAUGUAGAUGAGACUAAUGACCUGUUUAUCUUAGUAGCUCCUCAGAAUGCUGUCGGGAAUUGUAUUAUUGAGGAUUUGCAAGCUAUGACUGAUGCUGCUGGGGACUGACCAGUAAUUCUUAUCAAUCCUAGGCAUAAGCAUCCUUGAAGUCCAAGGUGCAGAGGAAUAAAAUGAAAACUGCUGGUCAAGAUAGUGAUAUACAGAUGCCUUAUCCAUACAACUUAUGGGAACAAGACAAUAUCUACUUCGGUAUGUAUUUCUGUCUCUUCAUGUGUACAUGUGUAUAGGAUUCUGUUGUACUUCUUUUGUCAUGAAAUAUGGACCCAGGCAUGCUUUUAAAAUAGGGUUAUAGAUCGCUUUUUUUUUUUUAGUUGUGCGCCUUCCCUUCUGCUAUUGGUUGUGUGAUGUAUAUGAAAGACUGCUAAAUAUCAGGCUCGUAUUCGCUUGAAGUUUAGUAGCUUAGUCUAUUAGUUGGGUAGUGAAAUUGUUCUAGUUGCAAAUGUUGGGUAAAACUCUGAGUUUAAUUGAUGCCUUUGUGUUGUUGUCCUACUGGAUUGGUAUGAGAUAGUUAAACCUGAGUUACUAGCGAAAGUCACCAUGCUCACAUAUUUUUACUUAAAGCAAUAUAUUUACUAGCCAA